CCUACGGGAGACUGCAGUGGGGAAUAUUGCACAAUGGGGGAAACCCUGAUGCAGCGACGCCGCGUGAGUGAAGAAGUAAUUCGUUAUGUAAAGCUCUAUCAGCAGGGAAGAAACAGACGGUACCGGAGUAAGAAGCCACGGCUAACUAAGUGCCAGCAGCCGCGGUAUGACGUAGGGGGCAAGCGUUAUCCGGAUUUACGGGGUGUAAGGGGAACGUAGACGGCGAAGAAGGUCUGAAGUGAAAGCCCGCGGCUUAACCGCGGCACGGCUGUGGAAACGUUUUUGCUGGAGUACCGGAGGGGUAAGCGGAAUUCCUGGUGUAGCGGUGAAAUGCGUAGAUAUUAGGAGGAACACCAGUGGCGAAGGCGGGUUACUGGACGGUAACUGACGUUGAGGCUCGAAAGCAUGGGGAGCAAACAGGAUUAGAUACCCGGGUAGUC
rnacentral:rRNA from 1 species